rnacentral:tRNA from 1 species
AAGGUUAUAGUUAAAAAUAACAUUUAAUUUGCACUUAAAAAGUAUUGAUCUAAAUCAAUUUUCCUUA